CGUGUACACACACACACACACACACACACACACACAAACACACGCACGCACACACACACACACAAACACACUAAAAGUUUCAUGUGGCAUGAAUACUUCUAGUAUGUAUUAAAACACACACACAAUUAGCACAUUAAAACCAUUUCUUCCAUGGGUCUUUAAACAUGCUUUGCUUUUCAUUUAGAAUAGUCUUCACCUGGCUCUUAUAAAACUUCACUCACUUUAUUAAACUCUCAGAUUCUCAAACUUUAUUUCCUCAGAAAGACUUUUACUGACUGUCUAAAACGAUGCUCUUUUGAAUUAAUUAGUAAACAACACUAUUUGUUCAUAGCAUAUCUGUGUCAGUAGACUACAAGUUCUACGAUGGGUAAAGUCUUUAUUUUUCCUAGCCCAUACCUUUAGUGCGUAGGGCAGCUUUUGGCACAGAUUAACAUCUAAUAUAUAUUUACUGAUGAAUGAAAAGUUGAAAUGGAAAAUUAGUGUAGCAAUAUCCUGCUCCUCUUUUCCUUCUGUUGAAUACCAAGUAGACCCACCCAAUGCUACAUCAGUAGAGGUCCUAUGGGGAGUAGUAAAAAAGAAAGACCUGCUAUAAAGUCAAAUGUAGUGGUGCAGGUCUGUCUGUAACCAUCAGCACCAAAGAGGUGGAGGCAGCAAAGGCUGUGAGUUUGAGGCCAGCCUGGGCUACACAGGGAGGCUCUGUUUUUAAAAAUGUGCCAUUUCCAUCCCUGCCAAGGUGUCGUGUCAGUGGAGGUCUAAUGGGAGCAUGAGUUUGAACUCCUGCAAAGCAGCAAUGAGGUGCUUUCCUUUUUGUAUUCAAAUUAUUGAUGGUGACCCACUAUGGAGCCCAGAGGUUUUAUUUGGUUGACAUUUUUAGGGAACUAGACCUAAACCUUUCAGUAGAAGCUACGCCUUCUAUGCCAGGUACAGGUCUGUAAUCCUGGCACUUGUAUAGGUCGAGGCAGGGAUUGUAAAGUCAAGGCCUGCUUGGGCUACAUAGGAAAUUCAACAAGAGCUUGGGUAGUUUAACAUGACCCUGUGAUGAUUAGUAUUGGUUGUCAACUUGUCUAUACCUGGAAUUAACUAAAAGUCAAAUGACUGAACACACCUCUGAGGAGUAUUUUUUUUUCAUUAAAUCUUUUGAAAUGGGAAGGCCCCCUUCUAAUGUGGAUCUUUUGAGGUAGAAAGAUACACUUUUAAUCCAGAUAUUUUGGGGUAGGAAAUCCACACUUUCUGUUGGCAGCCUAUAUAAAUGAUAUAGAAGACAAAGUUUGCUCUCUCUUUGCCUGCUUGGACUGAACUGUUAGAUUCUUUGGCUUUCCAUCGGUAGACAGCCAUUGCUGCACUAGUUGGACCAUAGCCUCUAAGCCAUUCUAAUAAAUUCCAUUUAUAGACAUACAUAUGUACACAUAUAUAUUAAUUUAUAUAAUGUAUACUGUUUAUUAGAAUUGUUUAUUAGAAUUAUGUCUAUGUUUGUUAGAAUAUAUAUAUAUAUGUAUGUAUUCAUUCAUUUUAUAAGUUCUGUUCCUUUAGAAAAGUCUAAUACAGAUCCUAUCUUAAAGAGUGAAAAAGAAAGUCUGGAGCUAGAGCUCACUCAGUGGUAGAUCAAUUGCAUAACAUGAAGCCCUAGUGUCAGUCUUUAGUGCCAUAUAAAAUCAUUAAUGGCCUCCUCAUUUUUAGAAGGUUUCCUUUUGCUUCUUUUAACAUUGACUUAUACAUUGUGUGUGUGUAUGGGAGGUGGUGUAGGCCAGCGGACAACUUUCAGGAGUCAGCACUCUCCUUCCACAAUGUGAGACCCGAGGAAUUGAACUCAAAAUUAUCAGGUUUGGUAGCCAGUGUCUUCACUGCAAAGCUGUCUUGAUGCCUGCCCCCCAUGCCCUGCCUUUUUUUUAAACACUGCGAGUUUCACUAAGCUACCCAGGUAAGCCUCAAACUGGGAAUCCUUCUGCUUCAAUAUCUGGGAUUACAAGGGUGAGCCACCAUGGUUGGCUCCGAUUUUCUUCUUUUAUUUUGUUUUUCUGAUUUGAGGGACCAAAUGGAGCUAUAUCUUUUAAUUUAAUUUUGUUUUCAUAUGUUAGAAUAGAGGAUGUAAUUAAUCUUAAGUGUUUUUAAUAACCUUGUGGAACAUUUUUUUCUGUUAAUUUCUGUGGUGGUACUUGUUAUUGCAACUAAGCUUCAAGCAUGUGAGACAGGCACUCUGCCAUGGAGUUUUAUUCCUAGCUCCUAAACUAAUUUCUUAGACAUCCUGGCCUUGCUCUAGAACUUAGAAGGCAAAACAUCUUAUUUCAUCAUUCAGUAUGACAUAGCUGUACAUUUUUUUACGUAAGUUUUGUUUGUUUUUGUUUUGUUUUUUAAACAUUUUCUCCUGUCAAGUUGAGGCAGGGAAAUACAGUCAUAGUAAUGUCUGUAAUCUGAACUCUCAUGACAGGCAAGAGGACUACCACAAAUUCCAGGUCAGUCUAAACUAUAUAGAGAGUUCUAGGACAGCCAAGACUACAUAGCAAGACCCUGUUUGGGCUGGAGAGAAGGCUCAGUGUGUAAAAGCACUUCCAACACACCCAGGAGAACUCCAAUCUGGAUUCCCGGAAUCUGCAUAGUACACAUUUGUAAUCCCAGGACUCAUACUGUGAGGUGGGAAGCAGAGGCAAUAUCCCUGGAAACUCUUUAAGGCCAGCUACACUGGCAUAUGUGGCAGUGAACACCAGACACCCUCUCUCACUCAAGGUGUCCCCUGACCUCCAUAUGUAUGCUGCUGCACAUGUGCCUGUAGUCACAUACAUGACCAUGUACACAAGUCUCUAUGUGUGUGGAGAGAGACAGAAAGCAUUUUCCUUAAAGAACAAAAACAACAACAGGGGCAACAGCAAACUUUUUCUGUUCUGUUUUCUGUAAGAGAUAAUAUAGAAUUGCUGAUAAUUCUUUAUUUCAGUAGAAUUAAAAUUCUCCAGCGAAGCUACAUGGGCCUUGAGUAGAGCCUUAUAAUUUCAAUGUUGAUACUAUUAUGAUGAGAAAAGACAUUCUAUAUAAUCUCAGUUAUUUUCAAUUGGUUGAAAUUAGUUUUAUGGAUCAGCAUAUAGUCCUAUCUUGGUAUAAGUUCUUUUAGUUCUUAAAAACGGUGUAUUCUAUUGUUGUUUGGAGUAACCUAUAAAUGUCAGUGUGAGCUUAUUAAUGGAGAGCAUUGUUGUUCUUCUAUGCUCCUGGCUCUGUUCUGUCUGCUAAACUGUUUGAUGAGAAGGGGGUGCUAAAGUCUCCAACUGUAAUCAUGGAUUUUCUUGUUUUAUUUCCUUUUCUGAAAUGUGGGUUGAACCAAGACCUUACACAGGUAGGCAAGCACUCGGCUGCUGGGUUAUCUUCCCAACUUUGAUGAUGGAUCUUCUAUUUCCCUGUACAACCAUUUAAGUGUUUCUACAUGUAUUUCAAGACCCUGAUGUCUGAGGCAUACAUAUUAUUUGGAUUGCUUUAUCUUGAUAGAUUGAUACUUUUAUUAUAUGUUAUUAAAUGCUAAUGAAGAAAAUAAAAAUCUAGCUGUGUAUGGUGGCUCAGGCCUGUAAUCCCAGGUCUGCGGGAGACUGAGGCAGGAGCACUGAAGCUGAAGACCUGGUUGGACAACCUAGCAUGAUUCUGUCUCAAAAUAAAAGUGAAAAUGGCUGAAUUACUUUGGCAAAGUAUUACUGAGUAUUAUACGAAGUAUUCUCCAUAGAUGGAUAUGGUGGCACUUGCCUGUAAUCCUAGCACUGGAGAGGCUGAGGCAGGAGGAUCAUGAGUUUGAGGUCAACCUGGGCUACACAGUGAAACACAGACUCAAACAACCAUUAUUAUUGAAGAUAAUCACUGCUAUCAUUUCUUUGGAAUGUUUUUCUGUGCAUACCCAAAUCCUCACACAUAUAUUAUAUACAUUUAUAAAAUCGAGAGUCAAUGGUAUUAAACCACUUUGUGUUUUAUUACUUAACAUAUAAUACUUGUCUCACCCAAGUAUUUCUAAAAAUCUUCUUUGUAGUUGGCUGCAACAAAUUUUUCCAUAUAAAAAUACUAGAUGGAAUUAACAUUAUAUCUCAAAUUCAGUAUAUCCAAACAGAAUGUUAUGAACAGAAUAAGGUAUUUUAAGCAUGUGUGUGUAAAGCUAGGCCCCUCCACUGGUAGCUUCCCAGUCCUGCUUUGUGUCCACCUAGAAAACCACAGAGUGACCUUCCUUCUUCCCUUAUCCUUGAUUCUUUAUAAAUGACCUACCCCCAAGGCCAGGUGACACUCCACUUACACUUUAUACUUUACUUUACACACUACUUCUCAGCUCUAGUCUAGGUUCAGCCAGACCCACCUUUAGACCACACUGUCACGAUCCAUCCCAAACACUAUGUCAUGUCGUUCCCCAUUCUAGAACCUAGAAUGGCUUCUACUUUUUUUGUAUGGGAUCUAGACUAUUCAACAUGAGAUUCAGUCCAGUCAGCCAGCUUUGUCCUCAUGCUUCUGAGAGUCCCUUGCUGAAAGUCAAUCUGUACUCUCUGCUCUGUUCAUACCCUCCAGCCUUCAGAAAGUAAUCUUCAAGUUUUACUCUCAGCUGCUUCUAUGCAGUGUCAGCCCCUGAGAUAUCCCCAUUCAUCUAGGGGGUGUCACUUCAAUUAUUCCCUAGAAAUCAGAGGUCAUGUUCUCAGCUACUCAGUGCUCAUGACACCAAACACACAGGAGGUUCAAAAACAACUUGACCGAGUUGAUAUUUAACGAGAAGACAGGACCAAACCUCUUAAACUGUAACUGAUUCAGAUUGCAUUUUUGGGAGCCUAUGAAGGGUAGGAAUGGAUUACAAAGAGUGAUGGGGUAAAAACAGGUGAGAGAUGGUUAGGAGCCACAGGCAAGGCAGUGGUAGCACGUGGAGGCUAGCUACCAGGCCUGGAUUCAAAUCUGGAGUUUACUACCUUGGUGUUAUGUGACCAUAAGUAGGAGCCUGUGCUUACCAGUCUCCUACCAUGUAAGGACACAUGAGAUAGUUUAUGUGAAGUCCCAAACACAAUGAGUGUGGGGUACUUGCAGUUAGUUUUUAACCUCCUGGUUUUCGGUAGAAAGUUCCAGUUUUCCUAGGUGAUUUGUCAAUGGCCUUCAUCUCAUGGUAUAUUAAAUUUAGGCUGCCAAUUCAUCAUAACUUUGGGGAAUAGCCCUCAAAUGUUUUUUUUGUAAUUUGUAAAAAUUUUAGCAUGCCAUUUUUAACUCAUUUUGCAACACUAACCACAAUAGACCUUUCUGUUCCUUACACUCUUUAGUGAAGCAAAGAUCUGAUCAGUGGGAAGGUGCAAGCAGGUGGCCAGCUUCAGGAAUUUGCUGGGGGGUUGGGGGAGGGAUACUGAGAGGGCAGAGAACAGGAAGGGGAGAUAAGGGAGAGACGUCACUGGGAUCUUUACUUAAAGCCAAGCAAACUAGUUCAGGAUUUCCACCACAAUCUUGCUCCAAAGUCCUUCCAAGAAACCGGAAAGCAAAUGGUUGGUUUGUCCUUGGGAUCAACCCUGCUUCCUAACCCCUCUUCAUGCUUCUGAGACAGUAAGAGGGAGUGUGUGUGUGGGGGUAAGCCUUAAUUCUAUGGGGCAGUGUCUCUUCAGGCAGAACUGCUUUGAGUUUAGGGCUCCAGCAGCCCUUGAAGUCUGAGCCCUACAGCCAACCCAUAGAAUGAUACUGCCUUUAGACUCCAGGCUGCAAUUGGGGUGGUGGUGGUGGUGAUGCUUCUUUCCCCAUCCCCCACACAAUAGUUCUCUCAAGAAUAUUAGCAGCAGAUGUGCAAAGGGUCUCAGUAUGGGGCUGUGGAACUGUAAACAGCAGGCUGGAGCUGGUGACCAUAGCACACUGGAGGUGGCAGGAGCUGUGUCCCCCUUGUUCCCCUGUCCUCUUAGCUCAGAACAGAGUUCAAAGCUCCAGAUUUCAGCUGGGUGGGAGCUGAGGGAGCACCAAAAGGCAUAGCUGGGGGGUGGGGUGGGAUCAGAACUUUAGGAGUUGCUCAUGGACAUUUUCCUCUUGUUUCCAGAGAUUGCAGGAUUUCAGGUGCUUUGGAUCAGCCACAUGGAAGGAGUGGAGUGUGCAGUGUGGGGAGAAGCAAGGGAAAGACAUGCAUGCAAACUGGUACCAGGAAUGUCCCCGGACCAGAAGAGUCUAGCUGGAAUACUACAAUAGUCUUUUGCACCCUAUCUGUUCAUCCAUUUGUGGGGAGCUACUGGCGAACAGCGUGAGUAAACUAUGCUCUUUCUACCAGAAGCGUGUGAAUGUAAUGCUCUUAACACUGACUCUGAUACAUUCUUGACACAUGAAUUGCCUGCUGGAUCCUCCCGGGUUGAAAGGUAGGAAUUAUAAUGUUUGUCUUGCUUAUAGUCUAAGUCUUUUUUUCAAAACUGGGAAUUCAUAGAUCAUAUAGUUUUCUAAAUGUUUGAAUAUUUAAAGUAAAAUGACUACUGGGUAAUUUAUGUUGCCAAUAAAUAUUUAAAGAGCAAGGAAAGAUGCAAAUCUCUUUCUUAGCCAAGGUGUUGGAAGCAAGAAUUCUUGGCAAAAAUAACCACGGCAGAAAGGUAAGAGCCUGUACUUUGGGGCUUCUUCCUUAAAACGGCAUCACGUCUGUGAAUCCACAGGCUCAGGAGGUGGCAUUCCGUCUCAGUAAAGAUGAAGGUACGUAUCUGCUGGUAAUACUUCUAGUAUUGCUGUGGGGAGCACUGUACACAGAUUCAUUGUUAUUUCUUCAGACAGUGUGUUGGACAGAGAAAUAACAUUUGAUCUUUGCAGCUAGGCAGGCCUGACCUCCAAUCCCAGCUCACAGUUUUGAUUGAGGCCAUCAUGUACUAACAGUGUUAGGGGGACUCUUCCUAGCUUCAGUCCCCACCCCCAAUUCACCCUAUGCUGCAGCCGAGGAAACAUUCAAAAAUACAAAUAAGAGCUUGCCAUGCUCCUGCAGUAAACCUCUUAGUGAUAGCACAUCUUUGACAGCAGGGUCUAAGCUCCUUAGCAUGACUCAUCCUAGGCUGGCUUCCCAGCCGGCUUCCACACACACUCUAGCCGUACCUCCUCACCCUCCACUACCUGCCUUCAGAUGCUCCAUUGUUUUCAGUUGCACAGAAGGACACCCGCAUGUACUUCCCCAGUUGGGUUAUUCUACUCUCCUAGAAUCACUUUCCACCCUUCUGGGUCUGGUCCAUGUGAGUCAUUCCUGCACUGGGACUGGGGUCAGCAGAACUAAGACAAGCACAGGCUCAAGGGCCAGAUGCCAGGGAGAAGUCAGGGCCCCAAGUUAGCCUGCCUCCUCUGGCUUCAGAAGCCAGAUUAAUUACUGUUGAGCUAUUGACAGUCAUUAUAAAAAGGCCAUUAAUUUUUAGCAUAAGAUUCUUUAAAAUUACUUCAUUUAAAAUAGUCAUGUAAGUAAAAAAUUCCAUAGACGAAAUGAUAUUUAGGAAGGGAAUCUGAGUCUGCUGUGUCCUACAUACCCAAUUCUUUUUAGCAGCUCUCUCCCUACCCUGUUUGGAGAAAUAGCCUGUAUAUGUAAGCAGAAAGAUAACAUUUUAACACAAUAUUGUAACAUGCUCUCUACAGCAGCCUGUAUUUGCUAUUUUCAUUUCACCACAUUAUCUUGGAGAUCCUUUCACACUGUAUUUGAUUUAAUCAAUCCUGUCCUACGGAACAAGCAUGUAUGCUGUUUUUAAACUCCUAUAAUGCUGCUGUAAUAACCUCUUACUAUUCUUGCCAUGUCCCUGAUCACCAGAAGGAAAAUUCAUUAUUUUUUGCUUUAAAAAAAUCUGUUUAUUUUCUUUUUAUUAAAAUUAUACUUAUUACUCUUGUUUUCUAAUUAGAAAAGCAAUACAUUCCAUUCGUAGAGAACUGGGAAAAUAUUUUAAAAGCACAAAGGAAAAAUGAUCAUUCACAUUUCAAACGGUGGUUAGCAGUGUGGUGGCCUUGCUCAUGGUAUUUUUCCUAUCUAUAUAUCUAUAUUUUACAUAUGGCCUAUUUUCACAUUUCUGGGAGAACCGUGCCAUAAAAUAUAAAAUAAUAGGCUCUGCAUGGUAGUACACAUCUUUAAUCUACAUACUUGGGAGGCAGAGGCAGGUGGAUUGCUGUAAGUUUGAGACCUGCCUGGUCUACAGAGUGAGUUGUGAGUUCUGUGUUAGCCAAGGCAACACAGUGAGACAUUAUCUUAACAAACAGACAGACAGACAAACAAACAAACAAACAAAUAAAGCAAGCUUAACACAUUCAGGAUACUAAUCCAUGUGAACUAUUUAACCCCAUUUAAUUCACAAAUUGACCUUAUUAGGCAUUUCUUUCUCCUCUCAUUUUACAGAUGGGGAAAACAAGGCAAAACAAAAUUUCAGAGUCCUAACACUCUAGGGAUUUGAAUUGGAUCUGUCAAAUCCUGCUCUUAUGCACUGUACUCCCUUGGUCCUGCCAGUGUUUUGGUUCUAGCAAAAAAAAGGAAAGACACAGAUCCUCUGCAAUUCAUUAGCAAACCUGUGCUCUUCAGGGAAACACAAAGAUGAAUUCUCACUGUGAUGGAAUGUGGUAUCGAAAAUCAGGACCAGUCCAAAGAUCCACAGAGAUAAGGAGAGAAAAAUAAGACACAGUAUAGGCUUAUAAUGAGGGAUAACCAAGCAAUUGAACAAAUGGAAGUAGAUUGAUAUGGAUGGAUUUCAAAAACAACACCAGACCCAGGAGAGGUGGCCCAGCAGUUAAGAACACUGGCUGCUCUUCCAGUCUGAAUCCUCCUUUGCCACUUACUCAUUCUGUCAACUCGGGCAAGGCAUCUGUGAAACGGGGACAAUAACAGUUGUUAUAAGGAUCCAGAUGAGUAAAUUUAUUUAAAAUGUACUGAAGAAUGACAGGCAUGUAGCAAUCCCUCUAUGACGCUUGUGAGGCACCAUGCUUCUGGAGAACGUCCUUGUUCUCAGAGACUGCUGUAUGAAUGAAUGGGCCGGGACUGGGGGUGGAGGGAAGUAUCAGACAGUUUUUGUCUUUCUAGCUAUGACUGUGGAGACAUGUAAGUAUGUGGAUUCCAUGGCUGUAACUGUAAGAGCUCUGAGAAAGGAAUGAUCAACUACCGACUUGCUGGGUGUCCAGGAAGGAUAUUACAGAGGACAUGGCAGUUGGAGCCUAAAGGGAAGGAAGAGUAGAAUUUCACCGAA
rnacentral:sRNA from 1 species